GGGUUGUGAGGUUAAGCGACUAAGCGUACACGGUGGAUGCCCUGGCAGUCAGAGGCGAUGAAGGACGUGCUAAUCUGCGAUAAGCGUCGGUAAGGUGAUAUGAACCGUUAUAACCGGCGAUUUCCGAAUGGGGAAACCCAGUGUGUUUCGACACACUAUCAUUAACUGAAUCCAUAGGUUAAUGAGGCGAACCGGGGGAACUGAAACAUCUAAGUACCCCGAGGAAAAGAAAUCAACCGAGAUUCCCCCAGUAGCGGCGAGCGAACGGGGAGCAGCCCAGAGCCUGAAUCAGUGUGUGUGUUAGUGGAAGCGUCUGGAAAGGCGCGCGAUACAGGGUGACAGCCCCGUACACAAAAAUGCACAUGCUGUGAGCUCGAUGAGUAGGGCGGGACACGUGGUAUCCUGUCUGAAUAUGGGGGGACCAUCCUCCAAGGCUAAAUACUCCUGACUGACCGAUAGUGAACCAGUACCGUGAGGGAAAGGCGAAAAGAACCCCGGCGAGGGGAGUGAAAAAGAACCUGAAACCGUGUACGUACAAGCAGUGGGAGCCUCUUUAUGGGGUGACUGCGUACCUUUUGUAUAAUGGGUCAGCGACUUAUAUUCUGUAGCAAGGUUAACCGAAUAGGGGAGCCGAAGGGAAACCGAGUCUUAACUGGGCGUUAAGUUGCAGGGUAUAGACCCGAAACCCGGUGAUCUAGCCAUGGGCAGGUUGAAGGUUGGGUAACACUAACUGGAGGACCGAACCGACUAAUGUUGAAAAAUUAGCGGAUGACUUGUGGCUGGGGGUGAAAGGCCAAUCAAACCGGGAGAUAGCUGGUUCUCCCCGAAAGCUAUUUAGGUAGCGCCUCGUGAAUUCAUCUCCGGGGGUAGAGCACUGUUUCGGCAAGGGGGUCAUCCCGACUUACCAACCCGAUGCAAACUGCGAAUACCGGAGAAUGUUAUCACGGGAGACACACGGCGGGUGCUAACGUCCGUCGUGAAGAGGGAAACAACCCAGACCGCCAGCUAAGGUCCCAAAGUCAUGGUUAAGUGGGAAACGAUGUGGGAAGGCCCAGACAGCCAGGAUGUUGGCUUAGAAGCAGCCAUCAUUUAAAGAAAGCGUAAUAGCUCACUGGUCGAGUCGGCCUGCGCGGAAGAUGUAACGGGGCUAAACCAUGCACCGAAGCUGCGGCAGCGACGCUUAUGCGUUGUUGGGUAGGGGAGCGUUCUGUAAGCCUGUGAAGGUGUGCUGUGAGGCAUGCUGGAGGUAUCAGAAGUGCGAAUGCUGACAUAAGUAACGAUAAAGCGGGUGAAAAGCCCGCUCGCCGGAAGACCAAGGGUUCCUGUCCAACGUUAAUCGGGGCAGGGUGAGUCGACCCCUAAGGCGAGGCCGAAAGGCGUAGUCGAUGGGAAACAGGUUAAUAUUCCUGUACUUGGUGUUACUGCGAAGGGGGGACGGAGAAGGCUAUGUUGGCCGGGCGACGGUUGUCCCGGUUUAAGCGUGUAGGCUGGUUUUCCAGGCAAAUCCGGAAAAUCAAGGCUGAGGCGUGAUGACGAGGCACUACGGUGCUGAAGCAACAAAUGCCCUGCUUCCAGGAAAAGCCUCUAAGCAUCAGGUAACAUCAAAUCGUACCCCAAACCGACACAGGUGGUCAGGUAGAGAAUACCAAGGCGCUUGAGAGAACUCGGGUGAAGGAACUAGGCAAAAUGGUGCCGUAACUUCGGGAGAAGGCACGCUGAUAUGUAGGUGAAGUCCCUCGCGGAUGGAGCUGAAAUCAGUCGAAGAUACCAGCUGGCUGCAACUGUUUAUUAAAAACACAGCACUGUGCAAACACGAAAGUGGACGUAUACGGUGUGACGCCUGCCCGGUGCCGGAAGGUUAAUUGAUGGGGUUAGCGGUAACGCGAAGCUCUUGAUCGAAGCCCCGGUAAACGGCGGCCGUAACUAUAACGGUCCUAAGGUAGCGAAAUUCCUUGUCGGGUAAGUUCCGACCUGCACGAAUGGCGUAAUGAUGGCCAGGCUGUCUCCACCCGAGACUCAGUGAAAUUGAACUCGCUGUGAAGAUGCAGUGUACCCGCGGCAAGACGGAAAGACCCCGUGAACCUUUACUAUAGCUUGACACUGAACAUUGAGCCUUGAUGUGUAGGAUAGGUGGGAGGCUUUGAAGUGUGGACGCCAGUCUGCAUGGAGCCGACCUUGAAAUACCACCCUUUAAUGUUUGAUGUUCUAACGUUGACCCGUAAUCCGGGUUGCGGACAGUGUCUGGUGGGUAGUUUGACUGGGGCGGUCUCCUCCUAAAGAGUAACGGAGGAGCACGAAGGUUGGCUAAUCCUGGUCGGACAUCAGGAGGUUAGUGCAAUGGCAUAAGCCAGCUUGACUGCGAGCGUGACGGCGCGAGCAGGUGCGAAAGCAGGUCAUAGUGAUCCGGUGGUUCUGAAUGGAAGGGCCAUCGCUCAACGGAUAAAAGGUACUCCGGGGAUAACAGGCUGAUACCGCCCAAGAGUUCAUAUCGACGGCGGUGUUUGGCACCUCGAUGUCGGCUCAUCACAUCCUGGGGCUGAAGUAGGUCCCAAGGGUAUGGCUGUUCGCCAUUUAAAGUGGUACGCGAGCUGGGUUUAGAACGUCGUGAGACAGUUCGGUCCCUAUCUGCCGUGGGCGCUGGAGAACUGAGGGGGGCUGCUCCUAGUACGAGAGGACCGGAGUGGACGCAUCACUGGUGUUCGGGUUGUCAUGCCAAUGGCACUGCCCGGUAGCUAAAUGCGGAAGAGAUAAGUGCUGAAAGCAUCUAAGCACGAAACUUGCCCCGAGAUGAGUUCUCCCUGACUCCUUGAGAGUCCUGAAGGAACGUUGAAGACGACGACGUUGAUAGGCCGGGUGUGUAAGCGCAGCGAUGCGUUGAGCUAACCGGUACUAAUGAACCGUGAGGCUUAACCUUACAAC
rnacentral:rRNA from 1 species